AGGUGCCUAUAUCGGCGGUGUCCACCUCUUCCCAUUCCGAACAGAGAAGUUAAGCCCGCCAGAGCCGAUGGUACUGCAGUAAAAUGUGGGAGAGUAGGUCGGUGCCAAAUC
rnacentral:rRNA from 2 species